CUACGGGAGGCAGCAGUAAGGAAUAUUGGUCAAUGGGCGAAAGCCUGAACCAGCCACGCCGCGUGAAGGAUGAAGGCCCUAUGGGUUGUAAACUUCUUUUCUACGGGAAUAAACCUCGGGACGUGUCCCGAGCUGAAGGUAUCGUAGGAAUAAGCAUCGGCUAACUCCGUGCCAGCAGCCGCGGUAAUACGGAGGAUGCAAGCGUUAUCCGGAUUCAUUGGGUUUAAAGGGUGCGUAGGUGGAAUUGUAAGUCAGAGGUGAAAUCCAGCAGCUUAACUGUUGAAUUGCCUUUGAUACUGCUAUUCUUGAGUAUAGUUGGAGUUGGCGGAAUGUGACAUGUAGCGGUGAAAUGCGUAGAUAUGUCACAGAACACCGAUCGCGAAGGCAGCUAACUAAGCUAUCACUGACACUGAUGCACGAAAGCGUGGGGAGCAAACAGGAUUAGAUACCCUAGUAGUCC
rnacentral:rRNA from 1 species